rnacentral:rRNA from 1 species
CCUACGGGUGGCAGCAGUGGGGAAUAUUGCACAAUGGGGGAAACCCUGAUGCAGCAACGCCGCGUGAGCGAUGAAGGCCUUCGGGUCGUAAAGCUCUGUCCUAAGGGAAGAAUACUGACGGUACCUUAGGAGGAAGCCCCGGCUAACUACGUGCCAACAGCCGAGGUAAUACGUAGGGGGAUGGCGUUAACCGGAAUUACUGGGCGUAAUGGGUGCGUAGGCGGACCUUCAAGAACGAGGUGAAAGGCGAAGGCUGAACCGUAGGAAGCAUUGGAAAAUGGAGGGCGUGAUUCCAGGAGAGGGGAGUGGAAUUCACAGUGUAGCGGUGAAAUGCGUAGAGAUGUGGAGGAACACCAGUUGUGAAGGCGGCUCUCUGGACUGUAUCUGUCGCUGAGGCACGAAAGCGUGGGGAGCGAACAGGAGUAGAUACCCCAGUAGGC